CCUACGGGGCGCAGCAGUGGGGAAUAUUGGACAAUGGGCGAAAGCCUGAUCCAGCCAUGCCGCGUGUGUGAAGAAGGCCUUCGGGUUGUAAAGCACUUUCAGUGGGGAAGAAAGCCUUGGGGCUAAUACCCUCGAGGAAGGACAUCACCCACAGAAGAAGCACCGGCUAACUCCGUGCCAGCAGCCGCGGUAAUACGGAGGGUGCGAGCGUUAAUCGGAAUUACUGGGCGUAAAGCGCGCGUAGGCGGUCUGAUAAGCCGGUUGUGAAAGCCCCGGGCUCAACCUGGGAACGGCAUCCGGAACUGUCAGGCUAGAGUGCAGUAGAGGAAGGUAGAAUUCCCGGUGUAGCGGUGAAAUGCGUAGAGAUCGGGAGGAAUACCAGUGGCGAAGGCGGCCUUCUGGACUGACACUGACGCUGAGGUGCGAAAGCGUGGGUAGCAAACAGGAUUAGAUACCCGAGUAGUC
rnacentral:rRNA from 1 species